AUGCUCAAAUCUGUUGUACAAGCCAUCCCCACCUAUGCCAUGUCCGUCUUUAAAAUUCCUAAAAAAAUCUGCAAAGGAAUUAUUGAUGCGAUGUCGCAAUUUUGGUGGGGUGACGAGGACAACCAGAAGAGGAUGCAUUGGAUGGCAUGGUGGAAAAUGUGUGUUCCAAAAGAUCAAGGAGGUAUGGGCUUCCGAGAUAUACACUGUUUCAACCUGGCUCUAUUAGCUAAACAAGUGUGGCGUCUUCUUGAUAAUCCUGAAUCUUUAUGUGCAACCAUAUUGAGAGUUAAAUAUUUCCCUAAGGGAGAUUUGAUGAACGCAAGGUUAAAGAAGGAAUCUCCGUUUACUUGGCAGAGCAUUAUGGCGGGAGUGAACUCUUUGAGAAAUGGUUAUAUCUGGCGAGUUGGAAAUGGACAAAACAUUGAUAUUUGGAGAGAUGCAUGGAUUCCGAAUUAUGCGAGUAGGAAAAUUAUUACUCCUAGAGGUGGGCAACUUCUGUCAAAGGUGGCUGAUCUUAUUGAUCCAACCACAAAUUCUUGGGAUGAAGAUUUGGUGAGACAAACUUUGUGGCCAAUUGAUGUGCAAAGGGUCCUCGCGAUUCCCCUUACUAUGCAUAACAUGUCGGAUUUCAUUGCCUGGAGCUAUACAAAAAAUGGUGUAUUCACUGUUCGAUUAGCUUAUUCGGAGGAAUGGAACCAACAACACGGGAGGAAAUUGCAAUAUACUAAUGCUAUGGGUCCUACCAAUGUCAAUCCUAUUUGGGGAAAGAUUUGGAAAUUAUCGUGUCCGGCAAAGGUAAAAAUAUUUAUCUGGCGAACGUUGCAUGGAACUCUACCGUGUCGUGUUACACUUACCAAUAGACAUAUGAAAGUUUCGCCCCUUUGUCCAUCAUGCUCAAAUGGGCAAGAAGAUACAAAACACCUCUUGUUUUUGUGUGAGAAGGCAAAAGAGGUUUGGGGUAAGCUGGGGAUGUACGAGGUAAUUAAGAAAGCUUGUGUUAUUGAUCAUGCUGGUGAGGCGGUUCUUGAAUUCUUACUUCUUAUGCCGCACCAAGAACUAUCUAUAUUAGGAUGCCAGAAUGCAAGUGAAUUAAUCGCGAUAACCGCUUGGUAUUUAUGGUGGGAGAGACGCAUGUUGGUUCAUGAAGGGAAGUCUCAAGAUGUGAACCAGAUUUCGAUGGGGGUUCGUGCUAUAACGGCAAACUAUGUGAAUCCCCACUCACCUAGUGCAUCUAGUAGAAAAGAAGGAUGGAGCCGACCUCCUAUGGGUUUUGUUAAACUAAAUGUUGAUGCUUAUUUUGACCAUGAUCUGCUCAGGGGCACGGUAGGUGCUGUACUCAGAGAUGACAAAGGAAAAUUCAUUGUUGGCGGAAAUGGGAAGAUCGAUUGGUGUGCUGAUGUACUAACAACAGAAGCGAUGGCUCUGAGGUUUGGUUUAAUUCUUGCACAAAAGGCGGGAUGCAAUCGUCUUAUUAUUAACUCUGAUAAUAUGGAAGUCAUUGACACAAUGAAAAAUGGAGGACAAUCGGUGGGAGUUGCGGCGGCAGUAUUCGAGGAUUGCUACUUCAUGGCAUGUGAUUUUCUGUUGACUAGAUUUGAACAUUGUAAUAGGACAGCUAAUAAGGUUGCUCAUGAACUUGCUAGGCUAGCGAAAGUUUCUGUAACUAGAGAUUGGUUUGAGGAGCCUAUGGAGAAUAUUGUACCUCUUCUUAUAGACGAUGUAACCAUUAUUUCCAAUCAGUAA
rnacentral:rRNA from 1 species